rnacentral:rRNA from 1 species
UACGUAGGGGGCUAGCGUUGUCCGGAAUCAUUGGGCGUAAAGCGCGUGUAGGCGGUCCGGUAAGUCCGCUGUGAAAGUCGAGGGCUCAACCCUCGAAUGCCGGUGGAUACUGUCGGGCUUGAGUACGGGAGAGGCGAGUGGAAUUCCCGGUGUAGUGGUGGAAUGCGUAGAUAUCGGGAGGAACACCAGUGGCGAAGGCGGUUGCCUGGGGCUUUGCUGACGCUGAGGCGCGAAAGCUAGGGGAGCGAACGGG